GACAAGGUAGCUCAGUUGGUUAGAGCGGUCGACUGAUAAUCGAUUGGUCGCGGGUUCGAUUCCCGCCCUUAUCU
rnacentral:tRNA from 1 species